GAUGAACGCUGGCGGCGUGCCUAAUACAUGCAAGUCGAGCGAACAGACGAGGCGCUUGCUUCUCUGACGUUAGCGGCGGACGGGUGAGUAACACGUGGAUAACCUACCUAUAAGACUGGGAUCACUUCGCGAAACCUGAUCUAACACCGGUCAAUAUAUUGAACCGCAUGGUUCUUUAGUGAAAGACGUUUUUGCUGACACUAAUAGAUGGUUCCUCGCCGCAUUAGCUAGUUGGUAAGGUAACGGCUUACCAAGGCAACGAUGCGUAGCCGACCUGAGAGGGUGAUCAGCCACACUGGAACUGAGACACGGUCCAGACUCCUACGGGAGGCAGCAGUAGGGAAUCUUCCGCAAUGGGCGAAAGCCUGACGGAGCAACGCCGCGUGAGUGAUGAAGGUCUUCGGAUCGUAAAACUCUGUUAUUAGGGAAGAACAAAUGUGUAAGUAACUAUGCACGUCUUGACGGUACCUAAUCAGAAAGCCACGGCUAACUACGUG
rnacentral:rRNA from 1 species